rnacentral:rRNA from 1 species
UGGGGAAUCUUGCGCAAUGGGCGAAAGCCUGACGCAGCAACGCCGCGUGCGGGAUGAAGGCCUUCGGGUUGUAAACCGCUUUCAGCAGGGACGAAGAUGACGGUACCUGCAGAAGAAGCCCCGGCUAACUACGUGCCAGCAGCCGCGGUAAUACGUAGGGGGCAAGCGUUGUCCGGAUUUAUUGGGCGUAAAGAGCUCGUAGGCGGUUCCAUAAGUCGAGUGUGAAAAAUCUGGGCUCAACCCAGUGGAG